AUUGAACGCUGGCGGCAGGCCUAACACAUGCAAGUCGAGCGGAUGAAGGGAGCUUGCUCCUGGAUUCAGCGGCGGACGGGUGAGUAAUGCCUAGGAAUCUGCCUGGUAGUGGGGGAUAACGUCCUGAAACGGGCGCUAAUACCGCAUACGUCCUGAGGGAGAAAGUGGGGGAGCUUCGGACCUCACGCUAUCAGAUGAGCCUAGGUCGGAUUAGCUAGUUGGUGGGGUAAAGGCCUACCAAGGCGACGAUCCGUAACUGGUCUGAGAGGAUGAUCAGUCACACUGGAACUGAGACACGGUCCAGACUCCUACGGGAGGCAGCAGUGGGGAAUAUUGGACAAUGGGCGAAAGCCUGAUCCAGCCAUGCCGCGUGUGUGAAGAAGGUCUUCGGAUUGUAAAGCACUUUAAGUGGGGAGGAAGGGCAGUAAGUUAAUACCUUGCUGUUUUGACGUUACCAACAGAAUAAGCACCGGCUAACUUCGUG
rnacentral:rRNA from 1 species